rnacentral:rRNA from 1 species
AGCCGACCUGAGAGGGUGAUCGGCCACACUGGAACUGAGACACGGUCCAGACUCCUACGGGAGGCAGCAGUAGGGAAUCUUCCGCAAUGGGCGAAAGCCUGACGGAGCAACGCCGCGUGACUGAUGAAGGUCUUCGGAUCUUCAAACUCUGUUAUUAUGUAAUAACAUAUGAGUAAGUAACUGUGCACAUCUUGACGGUACCUAAUCAGAAAGCCACGGCUAACUACGUGCCAGCAGCCGCGGUAAUACGUAGGUGGCAAGCGUUAUCCGGAAUUAUUGGGCGUAAAGCGCGCGUAGGCGGUUUUUUAAGUCUGAUGUGAAAGCCCACGGCUCAACCGUGGAGGGUCAUUGGAAACUGGAAAACUUGAGUGCAGAAGAGGAAAGUGGAAUUCCAUGUGUAGCGGUGAAAUGCGCAGAGAUAUGGAGGAACACCAGUGGCGAAGCGACUUUCUGGUCUGUAACUGACGCUGAUGUGCGAAAGCGUGGGGAUCAAACAGGAUUAGAUACCCUGGUAGUCCACGCCGUAACGAUGAGUGCUAAGUGUUAGGGGGUUUCCGCCCCUUAGUGCUGCAGCUAACGCAUUAAGCACUCUUACUGGUGCAGUACGAGCG